AUACCUUUCUCGGCCUUUUGGCUAAGAUCAAGUGUAAUAUCUAUUCUUAUCAGUUUAAUAUCUGAUAUGUGAGCUAUUGGUUCACACGAUAUUAACUCUAUUUUUGGCUGGGGAGAGUCCUUCAAGGUAGCUUGCUACCUGGGCUCUCAAGCGUCGUCCUUGCGUUGCACUGCUGCAUGGACUUGGCGCACCCCAC
rnacentral:snRNA from 1 species